CCAUAACCUAGCAGUGAAUAUUACAGCCAUGAGAUUUAGGCACUGAUUUGAAGGAGUUAAAUUCCCAGGCUGCCUUUUCAGAGCAGGGUGGGGCACUGGAGAAGCCAGAGAGGGGGAAAAGAGGCACCUGAGAGCCCUGGGAAGGAGCAGCAACACCUGUAGACCAAGUUCCUUUCCACUCCCCUACGCUUUGAUGCAGAUCAUCUCCAGCUGAGCAUCUGCCAGAGUCCUUGGCUGUGCUGUGCUGCUUUGUGCACCCCUAGGCGUGGGGUGACCUACCCGCACAGCCCUGUCUGCACCAGGAAGCAAGUGCCACGUCCCCCACUUGCCUCGCCUCUAACUGCCUAUCCCUGUUGCUGUGGCUGCGCAUGGGUUGGCCAGGGGGACAUGGGCAUCCUCCCCGAAUCAGAGUGGGCGUCCUGGACAACGUUUUUUGAGGGCACCUUCUCCAGCUCCUGGUACAGCAAACACAAGACUGAGCUCUUGGGAGUUUUACUUGCUGCUGCCUCAAAUUUUCUGAUUAGCAUCUCUUUGAGUAUACAGAAAUGCGCUCAUCUCCGACUGGCUCGCCAAGCAGAGCUGAAGCCCUUCUACAGGAGCAAGCUGUGGUGGUGUGGAGCUGUCCUGCUGGGCCUUGGAGAGCUGGGCAAUUUCACAGCCUAUGGAUUUGCCCCCAUUGCCCUUGUUGCUCCACUAGGAUGUGUAUCUAUCAUAGGUAGUGCAUUUAUUUCUGUCUUAUUCCUAAAGAAGACCAUGAGGGCUGCAGAUAUACUGGGAGGGACUCUAGCAGUAGUAGGGACAUACCUGUUGGUGACAUUUGCUCCAAAUGUACCCCAGGAGCUCACAGCAAGACGAGUACAGAAUGACUUAGUGAGCUGGCCUUUCUUGGUAUACGUGAUUUUAGAAAUCAUAAUAUUCUGCAUUCUCCUUUAUUUUUACAAAAGAAAGGCUGUGAAGCACAUCGUGGUUUCGUUAAUGAUGGUGGCAAUGCUGGCUUCUCUGACUGUCAUUGCUGUGAAGGCUGUGGCCAGCAUGAUAAUGCUCUCUGCCAAAGGGAAAAUGCAGCUAACUUACCCUGUUUUCUAUAUCAUGCUCAUCUUAAUGGCAACUUCUUGUGUUUUCCAGGUCAAGUUCUUAAAUCAAGCAAUGCAUCUAUAUGAAGCAAGGGCAGUUGUGCCCAUUAACUUUGUGUUCUGCACCACGAGCGCCAUCAUUUCAGGGGUCAUAUUUUAUCAGGAAUUCCAAAGUGCAGCUUUCCUGAGCGUGUUCAUGUUUCUGUUCGGGUGUCUCCUAUCUUUCCUCAGUGUAUUUGUAAUUGCAGUAAAUAAAAAAGAGGAGCGUUUACAAGUUCCUUAUAUUGACUGUGGAUGUAUUCCUGGUAAGUAG
rnacentral:lncRNA from 1 species